UGGUGGGAUACUACCCUGGCUGUAUGACCAUUCUAACCCGCCACGCUUAGCGCGUGGGGAGACAGUGUCAGGUGGGCAGUUUGACUGGGGCGGUCGCCUCCUAAAGAGUAACGGAGGCGCCCAAAGGUUCCCUCAGAAUGGAUGGAAAUCAUUCGCAGAGUGUAAAGGCACAAGGGAGCUUGACUGCGAGACUGACAAGUCGAGCAGGGACGAAAGUCGGGCUUAGUGAUCCGGUGGUUCCGCAUGGAAGGGCCA
rnacentral:rRNA from 1 species